rnacentral:tRNA from 2 species
GGCGUAGUUCAGUUGGUUAGAGCGUCAGAUUGUGGUUCUGAAUGUCGUGGGUUCGAGUCCCACCUC